ACCUCUUCUUCUUUUACACACUUUUGCUUUAUUUUUAUUUUUCAUCACAAAUCUCUACAAAUAUCUUCAGGAAUUUUACAUAUUAACCGUCUCUUACAUAAUCAAAGAACUUUUAAACAAAUUUAGUUAUUACUCCCAAAUCAAAGUAAUAAAUAAAGAACUCAAAAUUUAAUUUUUUUACCGGAACCAUUUCAAACAAACAUAGAAUUUUCAAUUUCCAACACCUUCA
rnacentral:lncRNA from 1 species